GACGAACGCUGGCGGCGUGCUUAACACAUGCAAGUCGAACGGAAAGGCCCUGCUUUUGUGGGGUGCUCGAGUGGCGAACGGGUGAGUAACACGUGAGUAACCUGCCCUUGACUUUGGGAUAACUUCAGGAAACUGGGGCUAAUACCGGAUAGGAGCUCCUGCUGCACGGUGGGGGUUGGAAAGUUUCGGCGGUUGGGGAUGGACUCGCGGCUUAUCAGCUUGUUGGUGGGGGAGUGGCUUACCCAGGCUUUGACGGGUAGCCGGCCUGAGAGGGUGACCGGCCACAUUGGGCCUGCGGUAGGGCGCAGACUGCUACGGGAGGCAGCAGGGGGGAGUAUUGCGCAAUGGGCGGGAGCCUGAUGCGGCGGCGCCGGGUUCGGGAUGUCGGCCUUCGGGUUGUAAACCGAGUUCGCCUGUGACGAAGCGUGAGUGACGGUAAUGGGUAAAGAAGCACCGGCUAACUACGUG
rnacentral:rRNA from 1 species